GAACCAGACUGGGCUCAUUGUUGGUAUUUUAGUAGCUCUCGGAAUUUCGAGCUUGAUACUGAUAUUUUUAACUUUUUACAUGAGGACAAAAAGCACAAUGACGAUGCGGAAGUGCUACUUGGAAUAGGACCUGAACUCAAAACUUUCAGUUAUGCCUAGUUGAGACCUGCAACAUAAGACUUCGACCCUCCAAAUAAGCUUGGCAAGGGAGGAUUUGGACCUGUGUACAAGCCAUGUUUCUGCAGGAAGAAGGGAAUUGCAUCUCAAUUGGCCUACCCGGUUCAAUAUAUGCUUGGGAACUGCAAUAUGUCUAGCAUGUCUUCAUGAGGAUUCUAGGCCAAAGAUUGUACAUCAAGACGUCAAGGCAAGCAAUAUUUUACUCGAUGCAGAACUCUGCCCAAAGAUAUCAGAUUUUGGAUUGGCCAAGUUGUAUGAUGACAGAAAAACUCACAUCAGCGCCAGAGUUGCAGGGACCAUUGGCUAUCUGACACCAAAGUAUGGAAAGCUUGGACACUUGAAAGAAAAGGCUGAUGUAUCCAGUUUUGGUGUUGUUGCUUUGGAGAUUAUCAGUGGAAGGGCAAACUCUGAGACUAACCUGGAUAGGGAAAAGAUUUAUCUUCUUGAAUGGGCACUUUUACCAUUUUUUUUUUUUAAUGCUUUCUUCUAUGUAUCCUAGUGUUAAAAAAACUUAUUCCUUGAAUUGUCUCUAUGGUAUUUGUAGGCCUGGAGUCUUCAUGAAAGUAACCGAAGUUUGGGGCUGAUAAAUUCCCAAUUAUCUGAGUUCAAUGAAAUUGGCACUGUACAAGUAAUAGGAGUUGCACUCUUGUGCACUCAAUUGUCACCAAUGUUACUGCUACCAAUGUCACGCGUUGUUAACAGCUUGCUGGAGACAUCGAAGUGGAAACUGGUGCUUCAAAGCCAAGUUAUUUGACUGAUAAGGAUUAUAAGGACAUAACAAAUAGCCUUUUGAACAAAGAUACUGUUACAUCCUCAUCGACAAGAAAUUAUAGCAGAAAGAAGAGCCAAUGUGGCAGUGUAACUGAUCUUAGCCCUGGAGUUGAUCCAUUGCUCUCCAGAAUAAGCCCCUGGGUUCAGUGACAUAAUUGCAGAGGGGAGGUGAGAAAUUUCUUUACUCACUGAAACUGAGUGAAUAACACCGCUCCUUGUAUACCACAACUAUUAAUUGCACAGUGAAUUUGAAGACCAUCAUAUUAGAUGUAUAUAGAGAAAACCUCUGUAUAGUUCUUCUGCAACAAGCUUGUUUGGAAUCUCUUUUGGAAUUUCUGGAUAUUGGAAGUUUCAGCAGUAUGUAUAAUUUUGGGAAAUUGCUGCUAUACAGGGGUAAGAAUACAGCAAUCGACAGAAGUUUUGUAAUAUUGUGUAGUUUAAGAUGUGAUUUUUGUGGCAUGGAAUGUCAUAUUUGUAACGUUUCAAAUAUUUUUCAUUUGAAUUUAACCGUCAAUGUGACAAAUAUGGAUUUAUUGUAUAUGCAGCUU